GUUGCCUUCGCUUUCCUUGGCUGGUAUGCUACUUUUCUCCUUCCGAAUAGCUUCCACAUACUCCUUUCCGGUUUCUAUUCUCGCUUCGCUGGUAAUGCUUACUUUGCAAUUUUUAUUUCAUUUUAUUUUAUUUUUUCAGUAUAGUGGUUGGCUGGGUAGCUUGCUUCAUUUGUUCAUGAUCACGCCUACGUUCUUUAGCUA
rnacentral:misc_RNA from 1 species